GGUUCGGUAGUUCAGUUGGUUAGAACGCUAGCCUGUCACGCUAGAGGUCGUGGGUUCGAACCCCAUCCGAAUCGCCA
rnacentral:tRNA from 1 species